UACGAAGGGGGCUAGCGUUGUUCGGAAUUACUGGGCGUAAAGGGCGCGCAGGCGGCGCAUUUUGUCAGGCGUGAAAGCCCCGGGCUUAACCUGGGAACUGCGUUUGAUACGGAUGGGCUAGAGUUCGGGAGAGGAGAGUGGAAUUCCCAGUGUAGAGGUGAAAUUCGUAGAUAUUGGGAAGAACACCGGUGGCGAAGGCGGCUCUCUGGACCGAGACUGACGCUGAGGCGCGAAAGCCAGGGGAGCGAACGGG
rnacentral:rRNA from 1 species